AUAUGUAUAUUUGGGUGCUUUCUUAGGACAAAUUAGAAAGCAUUCUGCCUUAAAAAGGCCACAGAGCUCUGCUUGCUUCUAUACCUUAAGACCAGAAAGAAGAGCCAGCCUCUAUUAGAGGAUUCCAAAGUUAAGUGACUGCCUGGAACACAGAGAUAUUCUUCCAGCUCUGUGAGCUUAGGUUCCUGAAACACUUUCCAAUCUACACCACCAUGUUUGUUUAGCUCCACUGGAUAAAGAACUGGGAAGAUUAAGGCCUAUGUGGAGAUGGAGUGAUUCUGACGUGACAGGAGAGAGGAGAAAAGGAGAAAAGUCUGAUGCGACAAAACAAUCAUGUGGAACCUGAACCUCCUUAAUAAGAUCAUACUUUUUUUCCAUAGUAGGUAGCUUUCACCCCACUGGUAUGAACAUAAUUUCACUGAUAUUUCAUCUGGACCCAAGCAAAAUGAUUUCCCUGAAGUGUUUUGUGUAUAUUUAACUGGAUUUUUGCUCCGCAGAUUCUGUGGGGGCUGCUAGCAUGAUUGGAGCAUGUUCUAUAGGCUUUACCGUGAAAUAUUUUUUA